UACGUAGGUGGCAAGCGUUGUUCGGAAUUAUUGGGCGUAAAGGGCGCGUAGGCGGUCAGCACAAGUCAGUUGUGAAAUCUCCGGGCUUAACUCGGAAAGGUCAACUGAUACUGUGCGGCUAGAGUGCAGAAGGGGCAACUGGAAUUCUCGGUGUAGCGGUGAAAUGCGUAGAUAUCGAGAGGAACACCUGCGGCGAAGGCGGGUUGCUGGGCUGACACUGACGCUGAUGCGCGAAAGCCAGGGGAGCGAACGGG
rnacentral:rRNA from 1 species